AUUGAACGCUGGCGGCAGGCCUAACACAUGCAAGUCGAGCGGAUGAAGGGAGCUUGCUCCUGGAUUCAGCGGCGGACGGGUGAGUAAUGCCUAGGAAUCUGCCUGGUAGUGGGGGAUAACGUCCGGAAACGGGCGCUAAUACCGCAUACGUCCUGAGGGAGAAAGUGGGGGAUCUUCGGACCUCACGCUAUCAGAUGAGCCUAGGUCGGAUUAGCUAGUUGGUGGGGUAAAGGCCUACCAAGGCGACGAUCCGUAACUGGUCUGAGAGGAUGAUCAGUCACACUGGAACUGAGGCACGGUCCAGACUCCUACGGGAGGCAGCAGUGGGGAAUAUUGGACAAUGGGCGAAAGCCUGGUCCAGCCAUGCCGCGUGUGUGAAGAAGGUCUUCGGAUUGUAAAGCACUUUAAGUUGGGAGGAAGGGCAGUAAGUUAAUACCUUGCUGUUUUGACGUUACCAACAGAAUAAGCACCGGCUAACUUCGUG
rnacentral:rRNA from 1 species